rnacentral:rRNA from 1 species
GACGAACGCUGGCGGCGUGCUUAACACAUGCAAGUCGAACGGUGAAGCGCCUUCCUUUUUGGUGGGUGUGGAUGAGUGGCGAACGGGUGAGUAACACGUGAGUAACCUGCCCCCUUCUUCUGGAUAACCGCAUGAAAGUGUGGCUAAUACGGGAUAUUCUGGUUCUGUCGCAUGAUGGGUCUGUGAAAGAUAUUGUUUCGGUGGGGGAUGGGCUCGCGGCCUAUCAGCUUGUUGGUGGGGUGAUGGCCUACCAAGGCGGUGACGGGUAGCCGGCCUGAGAGGGUGGACGGUCACACUGGGACUGAGACACGGCCCAGACUCCUACGGGAGGCAGCAGUGGGGAAUAUUGCACAAUGGGCGCAAGCCUGAUGCAGCGACGCCGCGUGAGGGAUGGAGGCCUUCGGGUUGUGAACCUCUUUCGCCAGUGAAGCAGGCCUGCCUCGUUUGUGGGUGGGUUGACGGUAGCUGGAUAAGAAGCGCCGGCUAACUACGUG